rnacentral:rRNA from 1 species
AGCAGUGAGGAAUUAUUGGUCAAUAGCCUUAACGGCUGAACCAGCAACUUGGAGGACGAAAACCGAAGUCAUGCUCGGUUACCAUGUAAAUAGAAUGUGGGGCACCAAAUGCGAAUAGUUCGAAAUAAAUUUUGAUAAUGACAUAAUUUAUUUCAAGGUCUUGACCUACUCAUGUGCCAGCAGUCGCGGUAAGACAUGGAAGGCCAGCGUUAUUCAUCUUUAUUAGGUUUAAAGGGUACCUAGACGGUGAAUAGUAGCUUUUAUUUCGAAAAAUAAUUGUACUUUAUUUACUAGAGUUUUAUAUAAGGAGGUUCAGAUUAGUGAGUGUAGGGAUAAAAUCUGUUGAUACCACUUUAAACUGGUUUAGGUGAAAACAGGGUCUUAUGUAAAAACUGACGUUGAGGGACGAAGGCUCAAGAAAAGAAACAGGAUUAGUUACCCCAGUACUAAGAGCAGACAAUGAUGAAUGCCAUAUAUAAGAAGAUUUUUAUGUAUAAAUGAAAGUGCAAGCAUUUCACCUCAAGAGUAAUAUGGCAACAUAUAAACUGAAAUCAUUAGGCCGUUUCUGGAACUCGUAGUGAAGUAUGUUAUUUAAUUUGAUAAUCCACAAAGGACCUUACCACAGUGUGUAUAGUUAUAUACAUAAGUAUAUUUCGGACAAGCGUUGCACGGCUGUCUACAGUUGAUAUCGUGAGAACUGAUUUGCUUCAUAAAUCAACGGAAUCCCUGACUUUACUUAAGGUAAAGUACUAAUUUCGACAUAAGAACCCCUAUUCGAAUUUAAUACAUGGGAACAUGACAAGUC